rnacentral:rRNA from 1 species
GAUGAACGCUGGCGGCGUGCUUAACACAUGCAAGUCGAACGAUGAAGCCCAGCUUGCUGGGUGUUUUAGUGGCGAACGGGUGAGUAACACGUGAAUAACCUGCCCUUAACUCUUGGAUAAGCCUUGGCAAAUGGGACUAAUACCGGAUAGGACAGUCCACCUCCGGGUGGAUGUUGGGAAGCUUUAUAGGUUUUGCAUGGACUCGCGUCGGAUCAGCUUGUUGGUGGGGUAAUGGCAAACCAAGGCGACGACGGGUAGCCGGACUGAGAGGAUGACCAGCGACACUGGAACUGAGACACGGUCCAGACUCCUACGGGAGGCAGCAGUGGGGAAUAUUGGACAAUGGGCGCAAGCCUGAUCCAGCCAUACCGCGUGGGUGAAGAAGGCCUUCGGGUUGUAAAGCCCUUUUGUUGGGAAAGAAAAGCAGCAGGUUAAUACCCCGCUGUUCUGACGGUGCCCAAAGAAUAAGCACCGGCUAACUUGGUG